AACGAACGCUGGCGGCAGGCCUAACACAUGCAAGUCGAACGCCCUAGCAAUAGGGAGUGGCAGACGGGUGAGUAACACGUGGGAACCUUCCCUAUAGUACGGAAUAGCCCAGGGAAACUUGGAGUAAUACCGUAUACGCCCGAAAGGGGAAAGAUUUAUCGCUAUAGGAUGGGCCCGCGUCGGAUUAGCUAGUUGGUGAGGUAAUGGCUCACCAAGGCAACGAUCCGUAGCUGGUUUGAGAGAAUGACCAGCCACACUGGGACUGAGACACGGCCCAGACUCCUACGGGAGGCAGCAGUGGGGAAUCUUGGACAAUGGGCGCAAGCCUGAUCCAGCCAUGCCGCGUGAGUGAUGAAGGCCCUAGGGUUGUAAAGCUCUUUUGUCGGGGACGAUAAUGACGGUACCCGAAGAAUAAGCUCCGGCUAACUUCGUGCCAGCCGCCGCGGUAA
rnacentral:rRNA from 1 species